GGAAGGAGCCAGAAGCAGGAAGGGGAGGAAAGAGAGGAAGGGUCCUGGGGUUGGAGAAAGGGGCCGGGACAGGGGCGGAAGCGUCCACUGGGAGGAGGGAGCAGGCCCAGCGUCUGCCCAGUCCCCAGUGGGUGCGGGGGCGUCAGGUGGGCAAAACCCCAGCGAGGGGAAACGCCAGGAGAGAAAAUGGAGACUGCCUGGCUUUGGAAACUGCCCUGAGGUCACACAGCAGCCCAUGGUGCCUUCAGUCCAGCCGUCUUCUCUGGAAUCCCAACCCUUCCCUCAGGAGAGACGGAGUUUCUCUCUUGUUGACCAGGCUGGAGUGCAGUGGCGUGAUCUCAGCUCACCACUGUCGGGCCUCUGAGCCCAAGCUAAGCCUUCAUAUCCCCAGCGACCUGCACGAAUACAUCCAGAUGGCCUGAAGCAACUGAAGAUCCACAGAACUGAAAAUAGCUUAACUGACAUUCCACCAUUGUGAUUUGUUUCUGCCCCACCUUAACUGAUC